CAUAUUUUGUAUGUUUCCUCUGCUGGUGAGAUCAGCUGACAGUACUCAGUGCUUGAGGGGGACAAUUUCCUAAUAGAUAGAAAAAGAGCAUCCUAGUUCCAAGCACUUGUUAGAGGGUCUUUAAACCCCCAACCACAACACACUCUGGGGUGCAACAUGACUCAGUGUCUUUCACUGGUUCUUUGGUGACAUCACCAGUGACUAAAGGUUUUUCCCAAGCAGCAGAAAGCUUAACCCUUGAUUUACAGCAAGGACUGAUGUAUUAACACCAGCAGUAUUUCUCUUUUGCUGUUGCCAGUGUGUGGUACAGAUCAGUGAAGAGUUACUAUACUCCUGGGUUGAGGGGAAGAGACACAUGGGGGGAUGCAAGAAGCUGUCCUGCUAUUACAGAUGGGACAAAACAGGAGGCCAGCCAGCUUCCACUCAUAAUAAUCAGGAGCUUGUUAAGGGUUCUAAUCAAGCAGAAAUAUUUUCCCAUCAGCUCAUUACAAACUGUGACAAGGUUUCAGCUCUGGGUUGUGACUGCUUUUUGCCUUGCUGGAGGUAAUAAGGGCAUCUGCUGAAGGCUUUGGUAGCUCCUGUGGUAUGACAUGUGGAUGAUAUGGAGAGGGAAGGGGAGGAAAAGGGGGCAGGAGGCAGAGCCAGGAGUAGUGAGGCUGCUCCAAGGGGUAGGGUUGGUUUGCAUGGAGAAAGGUAGUGGCUAGCAGCAAAAGCUUUCAAGGAAAAAGGCACUUGGAAUCUGUUUGUGUUGGGGCAUUAAAUUAGAUUUACUUUAAUUUGGACAGAAGUACGGUAAUUUGAACAGUUCAUCCCAGCCUUCUAGUCUCCUGGCAACAGUGAAGAGCAGACCAUGCUGGGACCACUAUUUUAAUCAACCUAAUUGCAGGUCCUUUCUCUCCUCCCCCAGCAAUCAGCCUCCUGGGAGAUGGAAAACCCUUUUGAGCACGUCAUCUAAAGGACUUGGAGACUCUAGUUUGCCAUGCUGCAGUUGCACAUUGCUCAGAUCCGUGUAGUACUCUUGUUUCAUGUUCCCUACCUGUAAUCAAGGUGUUACUCUUUUGGGGGGGUUGCAUUUUUUCCCUGUUAUAUUAAAAUUAAUCUGUUGCUUCAACUUCACAAAAAAUUUUUCAGUGGCACAUUACCUUCCAAUGGGAGUGGUUUAUAUUUCUGACCUGUUUCCCUAAUCACCUCUCUGCUUGCCUAUUGUGUUCAGAAGGCCUCACUACCUCCUGCUCCUGUCCAUUCUCUACAAGUGCUUUCUUGCCUAUUCACAAUUGUGAAACAAUAAAUGUUUAGCGUACAAAACAUAUGAAGAUAAACAUCUACUGUGAUCAUGAGAAACAUCACCUGUUUUCAUCCUUUUUCUUAAAGAAAUGUAUAUUCUUCAAAUACUUCAUCAGGGGAGUUAGUUUAAUCCUCACCUUCUCAAGCUCCUGGACUUCUGCAGCCACCUGGGCUGCCUUUCCAGCAUGGUCAAUGAGAGAAAUCAGCCCUAGUGCUGACAUGGUGAAACAUCGCACAGUGGGACAUUCUGGUGUCCAGGAUGAUACUGUGAACAAGCUCA